AAGAAACGGAGAAGAGGUUGAAGAAAUAAAUAGGGAAUGAUGAAUGGCGGCGAAUUAUAAAGAGAAAGGAAAAUAUGAGAGAGAAUGAUGCUGAGAAGAGAUCAUCUAGCUGUAUGCUAAAUACAACAACACGAGGAGGAGGUUGAGGCUGCGGCUCAAGAUCGAGGAAGUGGGCGUCGGCUUUCGCAAGAGUGACUAGCGGGAAUAACCACGCGAACGAUUCACCACAAAUCCAAGUCAAUGGAUGGAUGCAGGGUAUCGGACGAGUUGUGCUGGGUCCAGACGUACGGUGUCUAUGAAGGAUAGGGACGACUGCAGGUUGCUGCCGUUGCAUUGUUCGCUCCUCGUCUCCUUAUUUCUCAUUGUCCUUAAAAGUUAACG
rnacentral:sRNA from 1 species